CGUGCCAGCAGCCGCGGUAAUACGUAGGCAGCGAGCGUUGUUUCGGAGUUACUGGGCGUAAAGCGUGCGUAGGCGNUCUUGUAANUCUGGUGUGAAAUCUCCCGGNUCAACUGGGAGGGUGCGCCGGAAACUGCAAGGCUGGAGUAUGGGAGAGGUAGGCGGAAUUCCUGGUGUAGCGGUGAAAUGCGUAGAUAUCAGGAGGAACACCUGUGGUGUAGACGGCUUACUGGACCAUGACUGACGCUGAGGCACGAAAGCGUGGGGAGCAAACAGGAUUAGAUACCCUGGUANUCCACGCCCUAAACGAUGCAUACUUGGUGUGGGCAAUUCAUUUUGUCUGUGUCGGAGCUAACGCGUUAAGUAUGCCGCCUGGGGAGUA
rnacentral:rRNA from 1 species